rnacentral:rRNA from 1 species
AGUGAACGCUGGCGGUAGGCCUAACACAUGCAAGUCGAACGGCAGCACAGUAAGAGCUUGCUCUUAUGGGUGGCGAGUGGCGGACGGGUGAGGAAUACAUCGGAAUCUACUUUUUCGUGGGGGAUAACGUAGGGAAACUUACGCUAAUACCGCAUACGACCUACGGGUGAAAGCAGGGGAUCUUCGGACCUUGCGCGAUUGAAUGAGCCGAUGUCGGAUUAGCUAGUUGGCGGGGUAAAGGCCCACCAAGGCGACGAUCCGUAGUUGGUCUGAGAGGAUGAUCAGCCACACUGGAACUGAGACACGGUCCAGACUCCUACGGGAGGCAGCAGUGGGGAAUAUUGGACAAUGGGCGCAAGCCUGAUCCAGCCAUACCGCGUGGGUGAAGAAGGCCUUCGGGUUGUAAAGCCCUUUUGUUGGGAAAGAAAAGCAGCAGGUUAAUACCCCGCUGUUCUGACGGUACCCAAAGAAUAAGCACCGGCUAACUUCGUG